rnacentral:rRNA from 1 species
UACGGGGGGGGCAAGGCGUUGUUCGGAAUUACUGGGCGUAAAGGGCUCGUAGGCGGCCAACUAAGUCAGACGUGAAAUCCCUCGGGCUUAACCCGGGGAACUGCGUCUGAUGACUGGAUGGCUUGAAUCCGGGAGAGGGAUGCGGAAUUCCAGGUGUAGCGGUAGAAAUGCGUAGAUAUCUGGAGGAACACCGGUGGCGAAGGCGGCAUCCUGGACCGGCAGUUCGACGCUGAGGAGCGAAAGCCAGGGGAGCCAAAGCGGGGAUUAAGAAACCCGGAGUACGUC